UACAGAGGGUGCGAGCGUUAAUCGGAAUUACUGGGCGUAAAGCGUGCGCAGACGGUCAUGUAAGUCGGAUGUGAAAGACCCGGGCUCAACCUGGGAAUUGCAUUCGAGACUGCAUGGCUUGGGUGCGGAAGAGGGAAGCGGAAUUUCCGGUGUAGCGGUGAAAUGCGUAGAUAUCGGAAGGAACACCAGUGGCGAAAGCGGCUUCCUGGUCCGACACCGACGUUCAGGCACGAAAGCGUGGGGAGCAAACAGG
rnacentral:rRNA from 1 species